rnacentral:tRNA from 1 species
GCGGAGGUGGCGGAAUAGGUAGACGCGCCAGACUUAGGAUCUGGUGGCCUUUUGGGCCGUGCGGGUUCGAGUCCCGCCCUCCGCA